CCUACGGGUGGCAGCAGUGGGGAAUAUUGCACAAUGGGCGCAAGCCUGAUGCAGCCAUGCCGCGUGUGUGAAGAAGGCCUUCGGGUUGUAAAGCACUUUCAGCGGGGAGGAAGGCGGUGAGGUUAAUAACCUCAUCGAUUGACGUUACCCGCAGAAGAAGCACCGGCUAACUCCGUGUCAGCAGCCGCGGUAAUACGGAGGGUGCAAGCGUUAAUCGGAAUUACUGGGCGUAAAGCGCACGCAGGCGGUCUGUCAAGUCGGAUGUGAAAUCCCCGGGCUCAACCUGGGAACUGCAUUCGAAACUGGCAGGCUAGAGUCUUGUAGAGGGGGGUAGAGUUCCAGGUGUAGCGGUGAAAUGCGUAGAGAUCUGGAGGAAUACCGGUGGCGAAGGCGGCCCCCUGGACAAAGACUGACGCUCAGGUGCGAAAGCGUGGGGAGCAAACAGGAUUAGAUACCCUAGUAGUC
rnacentral:rRNA from 1 species